CGGAGCAGAACUGGCCGGACUUCCCCGAGGAACUGCCGGAUCUACCCCCCAGCCCGGGCUGCGAGGAGCCCUUGCAAUUGGACUUCCCGGGAGCGGACGCCACAGACCAGGAGAGAAACUGAAACAUACUGCGGCGCUGACAGAGACGGCUGUUGCUGCAAUACAGAAGAAUUUUGGAGCACAGCAACUGUAGGUAAUGUUGAAAAACAACCAUGAUAAGGAGGAAAAUUUACUGCAAGAACAAACAGAAGGUUCCUCACAAUACAAAUGGUGAUUAUGAUGAUUGAUCAGACUGCAUAGAGAAGAAGGCUCACUAC